GGCCUAGAGAUAGGUUGGGCCAGAGGUUUAACAAAACACAAUUUAAUUAUUUUUAUUGAUAGUCAAAUUUUGAAUUAAUCUUCAAAACUUUCAACAACGGAUCUCUUGGUUCUCGCAUCGAUGAAGAACGCAGCGAAAUGCGAUAAGUAAUAUGAAUUGCAGAUUUUCGUGAAUCAUCGAAUCUUUGAACGCACAUUGCGCCCUCUGGUAUUCCAGAGGGCAUGCCUGUUUGAGCGUCAUUUCUCUCUCAAACCCCCGGGUUUGGUAUUGAGUGAUACUCUUAGUCGAACUAGGCGUUUGCUUGAAAAGUAUUGGCAUGGGUAGUACUGGAUAGUGCUGUCGACCUCUCAAUGUAUUAGGUUUAUCCAACUCGUUGAAUGGUGUGGCGGGAUAUUUCUGGUAUUGUUGGCCCGGCCUUACAACAACCAAACAAGUUUGACCUCAAAUCAGGUAGGAAUACCCGCUGAACUUAAGCAUAUCAAUAAGGCGGAGGAG
rnacentral:rRNA from 1 species